rnacentral:rRNA from 1 species
UACGGAGGGGGCUAGCGUUGUUCGGAAUUACUGGGCGUAAAGCGCACGUAGGCGGCUUUGUAAGUUAGAGGUGAAAGCCCAGGGCUUAACCCUGGAAUUGCCUUUAAGACUGCAUCGCUAGAAUCGUGGAGAGGUGAGUGGAAUUCCGAGUGUAGAGGUGAAAUUCGUAGAUAUUCGGAAGAACACCAGUGGCGAAGGCGACUCGCUGGACAAGUAUUGACGCUGAGGUGCGAAAGCGUGGGAGCAAACAGG